UACGUAGGUGGCAAGCGUUGUCCGGAUUUACUGGGCGUAAAGAGCGCGCAGGCGGUCGUUCAAGUCGCGUGUGAAAGCCCCCGGCUCAACUGGGGAGGGUCAUUCGAUACUGCUCGACUUGAAGGCAGGAGAGGGCAGCAGAAUUCCCGGUGUAGUGGUGAAAUGCGUAGAUAUCGGGAGGAAUACCAGUGGCGAAGGCGGCUGCCUGGCCUGUUCUUGACGCUGAGGCGCGAAAGCUGGGGGAGCAAACGGG
rnacentral:rRNA from 1 species